AUGGCGCGCUGUUUCUACUUCGCCCUUCUCAUCCUCUCGUCUCCCGUAGCGGAGAUGGUUUAGGGUUUCGGUUUGGAGAUGGCGCUGAGCAGCUUCAUCGUGACGGUGGUGGGCGUCGGCGCCACCAUCCUCCUCCCCGGGGACGUCAAGCGGUCCGCGGCCAUUCUCCGCCACGCCUGACACUGGCUCGAAGAAGAGUCCGCCUCUGCCUCCAAGAUCUGCAAUUGGUGAUGUUGGCUUAUUUUAUGCCCAAAUAAUUCAGGUUCUUCUGUUGAUCACUGUUUAGGGAUUUUGUGCUGCGACUUCAGUUUGUGACAACUUCUAUAGUGACCUGAUUAUUACUUUAGUUACACAUGAGAUAAGAUUCUCUGAGAAAAAAAAAAAAGGGUGCAAAUGAUGGAACGGAAUUUAAAUUGUUGGCACACAUCAUGUUUGAUGAGAUCAUUAUCCAGUUUUCCAGGUUGUCAACAAGUCUGUUGAAGCUAAAAGAAGUUAUAGUACCAUAACUCUGUGUUACCCGUAGUUGUUCAUGCCCUAGCAGUGAUUAAUAUUUUUGAAUUGCCGUAUGAAGAUGGACAGUUGGAAAACAAAAUGAGUAAAAAAUUGUAGAAAAGCAAAAAGAGAUGGAUGCCAUAUGAAAGAUGCCUUUUUCUUAAUUGGGGAAUGCUGUUCCCUUGGAAUGCUCCUAAAUAUGUAACAUAUGCUAGGCUAUCUACAUUCCUGUAGUUCUUAUUGUUUUCGUGCAAAAUUGCUGCAAACAGGAAGUAGUAUUGUGCA